UAGUCCAUGUACUCUUGUCACAGGAGAGUCCAUCAGCUCACUAACACGGGUGAGGGACAGGGACCAAAGAGGAGGCUCUACAACAUGAGGAAAGACGGCGAUCCUCAAGCAGUCAGUCCAUGAGCCCACGUCUUCAGGCCAGGGGCCCGAGAGGAAUUUCCAGUGACAUGGAUCAACAGAGAUCCUCAAACAGUCAGUCCAUGUGCCACGUUCCAGCCAGGGACCAAAAGGGGGGCUUUCGUC